UCCUAAUAGCUCAGUGGUUAGAGCGGACGGCUGUUAACCGUCAGGUCGUUGGUUCGAUACCAACUUGGGAAG
rnacentral:tRNA from 1 species